UACGGAGGAUGCGAGCGUUAUCCGGAUUUAUUGGGUUUAAAGGGUGCGUAGGCGGGCUUUUAAGUCAGCGGUAAAAAUUCGGGGCUCAACCCCGUCGUGCCGUUGAAACUGAUGUUCUUGAGUGGGCGAGAAGUAUGCGGAAUGCGUGGUGUAGCGGUGAAAUGCAUAGAUAUCACGCAGAACCCCGAUUGCGAAGGCAGCAUACCGGUGCACAACUGACGCUCAGGCACGAAAGCGUGGGUAUCGAACAGG
rnacentral:rRNA from 1 species